AUUACACUUUCUGUAAAAGCUCAGAGGUGAGACCAAUUUGGUGAAUGAACUCUUGAGUGUUGCAGGUGUGCUACAAUAAAUGCAGGCAGGAUUAUUGUUAACACCGGCAGAGUUCUGCUCCCUGACUGGAGUUUGAUAGUAGUCAUUGCCACAUGC
rnacentral:snoRNA from 1 species